GGGGAAUUUGAAAAAUAAUAACCUAAUUAUUACAUUUAUCUAACUAAUUACAUUUUUGGCAAAAUUAAAACUUAUCUAUUACAUAGUCUAACUAAAUACAUGUCUUGAGCAUCUAUCUAUUACAAUUUGAGAUUUAAAUGCCUCUUGAAUAAUCAUCAAAAUUAAAUAAAAUAAAUGAAACUUAAAAUGAAUAAAAUGAGUAAUUAAAAGAAAAAGCACUCAAAGCAUGCAAUUACAUAUAAAAAACAAUACAUAGGAGCACAUAAGAGGAUUAAAAAUAAUGAAAGAAGCUAUAUUCCUUGAAAUAGUGGUUAAAUGAGGUUAGAUUUGUCCUAGUUAUACUCCAAAAUCAACAAAAUGGUCGAGAUACCAAUUUAAUUAACAAAUAAAUGAUAAAGAAGUGAAAAUAAAUAUGAAAUCUACCAAUUAAAACAUUUAAAUGAAGUAUAAUUAACAAUUAAAGAAGAUAAACAACUUAUAUUUAAGAAAUCAAAAUUGUUAGGGACCUAAUUAUAAAAAUUAAGAAAUGUUUGAGAUCAAAUUAGAAUUAUUACAAACAUUAUAGGUUACAAUUAAACAAAAAUAAAGUUUAGGGACCAAGUUGAAAUUAAAUUAGGAACCUAAUUGAAAGAAAUCCAAAGUUUUUAGAACCAUAAUAAAAUACUCGGAAGUCAGGGACCAGAUCGCAAUAAACGGCAUCAGAUUUCUUGAGAUAAAAGGCCAUUUGGGCCAUUUUUAUUUCUGCUUUGGGUCAAAUCCUCCCAAGCCCAGUGAAAAGUCCAAGGAAAAAUGCAUUGCCAACCCAUAAUUUUAACCAAACAAACCAAACUGAAAAUGUAUGGGCUUUGGCUUCCAAUCCCCAGUCAAAGGCCAAUCAGAAAAAACUAAAAGCCACUUCCAAAAACCCAAACAAAAUAACCCAAAUUCAAUUCUAAUCUGAUUUUACUAAACCCAACAAACCAUUAAAUCACCCAAAAAAAUUAAGACCUAACUAUGUCCUAUCACCCAGAAAUAAUUUUCUUAAAAAACAUAUUUAAGCAUGCAAAAGAGGAUUAAAACUUAACAGGGGGAAAAUGAUUCAAAUGCAAGAAUUUUGGGCUAUAAUGAAAUUAUGUAAAAAUUAAGGGCUCUAAGUGAAAUUUUCUGAAAAUCCCAUGUAUCCGGUUCGAAGAAAGCUUUGCUUCUCCGCAACUUUUUGGGUUUUCAUAUCAAACGGAGGGGACAAAAUCCAAGCAAGCAUCAAACUUUCAAAUCAAGAAAACAAUAUUACGCAACCCUAUCAUCAACACCCAGCCCUACUACAUGAAUAUCCUAUCUUUAAUCAAAAUUAUAGCAAGAACCUGAGCUAAUGAUACACAAAAGGAAGAAUAAUAUCAAAAGAAGAAACGGCAAACACAAGUAUAGGAAAGCUUUGACAAAUUGGUAUGGAUUUAGGCUUAUAUGGAGAAGAAUUGAGCAAAAGGGGUUACCUUUGAUGAGAAGAUGCAAUAAAACACGAGGAGAGAUGAAUCGAAAAGCGAGGAAGUGAAGCUAAGAGCUUCUUGGAUCUACUUCAAGAGCUGACAGUGCAGCAACUUCGGACCCAAAUUAAUCAACCUUAGAGGUGUUUUCCCUGAAUUUUCAAUACAAAAGUUCUUUUCCUACAUCUAUAGAGUAUCCAGAAAUCAAGAAUCGAUCAAAAACAAGUCGAGACGAAGAAGAAAAUGGCCUCUGAAUAGGGCUGCCCGCUCAGCCCUGGCUCAAGUUCUUACAAAAAAUUUCUGCACUUUUUCUUCCUCUCCUUCUCUCUGUUUUCUCCUUUUUCACUCUGUGUUUUCCUUUUCCGCCACCUCUCACUCUUGUUCUCUCUAAGGCUGCGUUUUUGGAGCCUUUUUAUAGGAACAAAAACCCCCCCAACCUUAAGAAGAAUGGUGUAGAUGAGCUUGUUUUUCUUCAGAAAUCAUGAGCCAUUGGAUGAUUUUUUCUUCUGGAAUUUUCCUUGCUAAUGAUUGGGAUGAGGUGGCCAUGGUUUGCGGAAAAGGAAAAAAAGAAAAUAACGAGUGCAAUUGAUGCAAAAAAAAUGGCCUGCUGCCAUCUUGUACUGGAGCUCAUUGCUAGUUUCUUCGUACAAAGAAGAAGAAACCUUUUUUUUUUUCUUUUUACAAAAUUUGAUUUAAUAAAAAAUUUUCUUGUUUUUUCUUUUCUGCCUAAUUUUCUAGAAAAGGAAUUGAAAUGAUUUUUCUCAAGAAAUAGAAAUGAAACAAAAUAAAUUAAAGUAAAUAAA
rnacentral:lncRNA from 1 species